rnacentral:pre_miRNA from 1 species
AAAGUACUCCCUCCGUUUCAAAAUUCUUGUCUUUGAUUCGUCUAAAUAUGAAUGUAUCUAGUCAUGUAUUAGUAUUUAGAUACAUCCAUUUUUAGAUAAAACGAAGACAAGAAUUUUGGGACGGAGGGAGUAUAUA